rnacentral:rRNA from 1 species
UACGUAGGGUGCAAGCGUUGUCCGGAAUUAUUGGGCGUAAAGAGCUCGUAGGCGGUGUGUCGCGUCGGCCGUGAAAACCUGCAGCUUAACUGUGGGCGUGCGGUCGAUACGGGCAUCACUGGAGUUCGGCAGGGGAGACUGGAAUUCCUGGUGUAGCGGUGAAAUGCGCAGAUAUCAGGAGGAACACCGGUGGCGAAGGCGGGUCUCUGGGCAGUAACUGACGCUGAGGUGCGAAAGCGUGGGGAGCAAACAGG